CACAAAAGUUACAUCCAAUGAUAGCCCUGAUCUGGGCGACCAACAUAUCCAAAAAUCAUGUAGAUCAGUUCAGGAAUUUCCUGGAAGUCAUAAUUGGAACAACCGCACGCAUGGUCCCAUGCCCAAAACAGUUCCAGAGAAUCAGGACUUGCGGUCGGUCUAGUUCGGUAGUUUAAAAACUAACAAACUACUGAAUAUAGUCAAUAAUCUUACUCUGGAG